rnacentral:rRNA from 1 species
AGAGUUUGAUCCUGGCUCAGAUUGAACGCUGGCGGUAUGCCUUACACAUGCAAGUCGAACGACAUCCUUUUCUCUUGCUCCUGGGGGCGAGUGACAAACGGGAGACUAAUAUAUCGGACCGGCCCCUAUAGUGAGGAAUCACGCAGCGAAAGUUGCGCUAAUACCGCAUACGAUCUACGGAUGAAAGUGGGGGAUCGCAAGACCUCAUGCUCAUGGAGCGGCCGAUAUCUGAUUAGCUAGUUGGUGGGGUAAAGGCCUACCAAGGCAUCGAUCAGUAGCUGGUCUGAGAGGACGACCAGCCACACUGGAACUGAGACACGGUCCAGACUCCUACGGGAGGCAGCAGCGGGGAAUUUUGGACAAUGGGGGCAACCCUGAUCCAGCAAUGCCGCGUGAGUGAAGAAGGCCUUCGGGUUGUAAAGCUCUUUUGUCAGGGAAGAAACGGUGAGGGCUAAUAUCCUUUGCUAAUGACGGUACCUGAAGAAUAAGCACCGGCUAACUACGUGCCAGCAGCCGCGGUAAUACGUAGGGUGCAAGCGUUAAUCGGAAUUACUGGGCGUAAAGCGUGCGCAGGCGGUUAUGUAAGUCAGAUGUGAAAUCCCCGGGCUCAACCUGGGAAUGGCAUUUGAGACUGCAUGGCUAGAGUGUGUCAGAGGGGGGUAGAAUUCCACGUGUAGCAGUGAAAUGCGUAGAGAUGUGGAGGAAUACCGAUGGCGAAGGCAGCCCCCUGGGAUAACACUGACGCUCAUGCACGAAAGCGUGGGGAGCAAACAGGAUUAGAUACCCUGGUAGUCCACGCCCUAAACGAUGUCUACUAGUUGUCGGGACUUAAUUGUCUUGGUAACGCAGCUAACGCGUGAAGUAGACCGCCUGGGGAGUACGGUCGCAAGAUUAAAACUCAAAGGAAUUGACGGGGACCCGCACAAGCGGUGGAUGAUGUGGAUUAAUUCGAUGCAACGCGAAAAACCUUACCUACCCUUGACAUGUACGGAACCUCUGAGAGAUUAGAGGGUGCUCGAAAGAGAGCCGUAACACAGGUGCUGCAUGGCUGUCGUCAGCUCGUGUCGUGAGAUGUUGGGUUAAGUCCCGCAACGAGCGCAACCCUUGUCAUUAGUUGCUACGAAAGGGCACUCUAAUGAGACUGCCGGUGACAAACCGGAGGAAGGUGGGGAUGACGUCAAGUCCUCAUGGCCCUUAUGGGUAGGGCUUCACACGUCAUACAAUGGUACAUACAGAGGGCCGCCAACCCGCGAGGGGGAGCUAAUCCCAGAAAGUGUAUCGUAGUCCGGAUUGUAGUCUGCAACUCGACUACAUGAAGUUGGAAUCGCUAGUAAUCGCGGAUCAGCAUGUCGCGGUGAAUACGUUCCCGGGUCUUGCACUCACCGCCCGUCA